CAGCAGUCGCCACGGUAAUACGUAGGGUGCAAGCGUUAAUCGGAAUUACUGGGCGUAAAGCGUGCGCAGGCGGUUAUAUAAGACAGAGGUGAAAUCCCCGGGCUCAACCUGGGAACUGCCUUUGUGACUGCAAGGCUAGAGUACGGCAGAGGGGGAUGGAAUUCCGCGUGUAGCAGUGAAAUGCGUAGAUAUGCGGAGGAACACCGAUGGCGAAGGCAAUCCCCUGGGCCUGUACUGACGCUCAUGCACGAAAGCGUGGGGAGCAAACAGGAUUAGAUACCCCUGUAGUCCCUGUCUCUUAUAC
rnacentral:rRNA from 1 species